rnacentral:piRNA from 1 species
UGGCAUCUACAUUGUGUGCAAUCACCAAG